ensembl:snoRNA LOC120100342 small nucleolar RNA SNORA70
GUAUUUUAAGUGUAGCUGACCAGGUUCCUUUCCUCAUUGGGAGCCUGGUUAGUAAUCGCUACAAACAAGUCUCUGGGCAUUGUGUAUGUAGCCAGAUGCUCGUACUGGCAACCAUGAGGCAGAUCCAGGGAGACAGUU